rnacentral:rRNA from 1 species
GCCCUUUAGUUUACUAUAGGUGUCCUAGUGGCAGACGGGUGAGUAACGCGUGAGUAAUGUGCCUCUUUUCUGGGGAUACCGUUUAGAAAUGAACGUUAAUACCGAAUGUGGUGAGACUGCGGCAUCGUAGUCUCAUUAAACUGUUAGGGAGAAGAGAGCAACUCGCGUACUAUCAGCUAGAUGGUGGGGUAACGGCCUACCAUGGCGACGACGGUUAACUGGUCUGAGAGGAUGAUC